CCUACGGGAGGCAGCAGUGGGGAAUAUUGCACAAUGGGGGAAACCCUGAUGCAGCGACGCCGCGUGAGUGAAGAAGUAAUUCGUUACGUAAAGCUCUAUCAGCAGGGAAGAAAUACUGACCUUACGAUCAGCAGACGGUAGCUGAGUACGAAGCCCCGGCUAACUACGUGCCCCCAGCCGCGGUCAUACGUAGGGGGCAAGGGUUAUCCGGUGUUACUGGGUGUAAAGGGAGCGGAGGCGGUGCGCCAAGUGUGGAGUGAAAUGCCGGGGCUUAACUUCGGAACUGCUGUGGAAACUGGCGAACGAGAGUGCGGGAGAGGUAAGCGGAAUUCCUGGUGUAGCGGUGAAAUGCGGAGAUAGUAGGAGGAACACCGGUGGCGAAGGCGGCUUACUGGACCGUAACUGACGUUGAGGCUCGAAAGCGUGGGGAGCAAACAGGAUUAGAUACCCCAGUAGUC
rnacentral:rRNA from 1 species